GCCCCCGUAGCUCAGCUGGCUAGAGCACUGGACUUUUAAUCCAGGUGUCGCGAGUUCGAAUCUCGUCGGGGGCA
rnacentral:tRNA from 1 species